AUAUUGAAAAGAAUGCAAAACAAGCUGAAAAAGUGGAACUUGUCGCUCAUCCUUUGGUGGCUGUCAGCACCAGAAAGGAUGGAUGAAGAAGUGAAACAUGGCCAUCUUCAGCCACUGCCCUGUGUGCUGGGCUUAGAGAAGUUUCAGUGUAAUAUAACACAAAUAUUUUGUUUCCCUGUGGACUCAUGGCAGCGGUGGAGGAGGCUGUAGAGGAAGGGGUAUGUUUGCUGUAGGCCUUUUGGAGGUGGAAGAAUUAGAUUUGAAAUAAAGGAAAGAAAAUUUACCUUCACAUCUUCAGGAA